rnacentral:rRNA from 1 species
UACGUAGGGUGCAAGCGUUAAUCGGAAUUACUGGGCGUAAAGCGUGCGCAGGCGGUUUUGUAAGUCAGAUGUGAAAUCCCCGGGCUUAACCUGGGAACUGCGUUUGAAACUACAAGGCUAGAGUGUGGCAGAGGGGGGUGGAAUUCCACGUGUAGCAGUGAAAUGCGUAGAUAUGCGGAGGAACACCGAUGGCGAAGGCAGUCCCCUGGGCCUGUACUGACGCUCAUGCACGAAAGCGUGGGGAGCAAACAGG